rnacentral:rRNA from 1 species
AGUGAACGCUGGCGGUAGGCCUAACACAUGCAAGUCGAACGGCAGCACAGUAAGAGCUUGCUCUUACGGGUGGCGAGUGGCGGACGGGUGAGGAAUACAUCGGAAUCUACUUUUUCGUGGGGGAUAACGUAGGGAAACUUACUCUAAUACCGCAUACGACCUACGGGUGAAAGCAGGGGAUCUUCGGACCUUGCGCGAUUGAAUGAGCCGAUGUCGGAUUAGCUAGUUGGCGGGGUAAAGGCCCACCAAGGCGACGAUCCGUAGCUGGUCUGAGAGGAUGAUCAGCCACACUGGAACUGAGACACGGUCCAGACUCCUACGGGAGGCAGCAGUGGGGAAUAUUGGACAAUGGGCGCAAGCCUGAUCCAGCCAUACCGCGUGGGUGAAGAAGGCCUUCGGGUUGUAAAGCCCUUUUGUUGGGAAAGAAAAGCAGCAGGUUAAUACCCCGCUGCUCUGACGGUACCCAAAGAAUAAGCACCGGCUAACUUCGUG